GCGAGAGUUUGGUGUCUUAAGUCUUAUUCAAUUCAUCAUGGAUAACACUCGAAAGCGUCAAAGAGAACGAACAGUUAUAGAUACUGCACAGAAAAGAAGAAAGCAAUAGUUCAUGCGAUGCUACACAGCACAGAAAAAGACGAAUGUGUGUAUUUAUGUGGAAAAGUAGCGAGAUGGAAAUUGGAAUGAUUUCAACAAAGCCAACUUCACGAAGACGUUGCCAAUAUGUAAUGAAGCAAUAAAAACUUUUAAACCGGCACACAGGAAAUAUAUUGAGUCAUUCCAUGCCAGUAAGUUCCAGAUAUAAAACAAAUACUCAAAAAGAUCGGCAACUUGUCAGCGGUACCUUUAAUCUGGGGCAGUCAUACCCAGACCCAGCUGAUCCAACGAGAAUACAAAGAUCCCCCUCCACAAGUCCACCAACUCUAGAAGAUACAUGUAUUGUGAAGAAACAGACCACAAAAUUUUAAGAAUAUUACAGAAUAUAAUAUAUACUGACCAAAAUUAAAUAUACACAAUAUAAAGCAGGAAUAUGUUGUAAUAGCAUCAAUGUUUAUUAAACAUGCAUUAUGCAAGAAGUAAAUGUGCCUAUUGCAGGUCUUUCUUUAGGUCUGAAAUGUUAUAUAAACUACAUGUAUUAAUUAGACAUUUAUUAUAAUCAACUUUUGAUGUCAUCUGAGGUGUCCGAUUUUCAUUGGAUUUGAAUCUGAUCUGCUGUUCACCGUCUGUUGAUUAAACGCAACAAUGGAUAAUCAAGACUUUGUUUAUUAUCAUGACAGCUGCAAUAACAAUGACAAUCGAAGCUACAGUCAUUUUUAAACAAAGGUUUUCUCGGCGGUAACAAUGACAAUUUAGGCUACCGUCAUUUUUACAAUAAGGUUUUCUCGGCUUAUAGUGAAGCAAUUUGACUGAAAUUCUCAGCAUAUUCCAUUUACAUCAUCUUGUUUUAACUAUAAUAGUUAAGGCUGUGCAAAAAUAUCGAUAUAAUCGAUAAUCGGUAGAAGUUAUUUAGCGAUACGAUAAUCGAUAUUGAAAUUCAAAUAUCGAUUAUCGGUAUAUUUACCUUCUGACGACAAGUUACGGUCACUUUCGCAUGACUGAACUUGCCGUAGUCUGGCAUUAGCAGACGAAUGAAUGAAUACACAACGUCAACACAACUAUUUCCCCCCUCUGCUUACAAACUGGCACAUUUUAAAUAUAUAUUAUUGUAAAAAAACUAAACUUUAUGAUUAAAUACAUUAUUUUAAUA